CUACGGGGGGCAGCAGUGGGGAAUAUUGGACAAUGGGGGCAACCCUGAUCCAGCAAUGCCGCGUGUGUGAAGAAGGCCUGCGGGUUGUAAAGCACUUUCAAUAGGGAGGAAAAGCUUUGGGUUAAUACCCCGAAGUCUUGACGUUACCUUUAGAAGAAGCACCGGCUAACUCUGUGCCAGCAGCCGCGGUAAUACAGAGGGUGCGAGCGUUAAUCGGAAUUACUGGGCGUAAAGCGCGCGUAGGCGGUUUGAUAAGUCAGAUGUGAAAGCCCCGGGCUUAACCUGGGAACUGCAUUUGAUACUGUCAAACUAGAGUAUGGUAGAGGGUAGUAGAAUUCCUGGUGUAGCGGUGAAAUGCGUAGAUAUCAGGAGGAAUACCAGUGGCGAAGGCGGCUACCUGGACCAAUACUGACGCUGAGGUGCGAAAGCGUGGGGAGCAAACAGGAUUAGAUACCCCGGUAGUC
rnacentral:rRNA from 1 species